rnacentral:rRNA from 1 species
GCCCUUAGAGUUUGAUCCUGGCUCAGGAUGAACGCUAGCGGCAGGCCUAACACAUGCAAGUCGAACGGUAACAGGAAAAAGCUUGCUUUUUUGCUGACGAGUGGCGCACGGGUGCGUAACGCGUAUACAAUCUACCUUUUACAGGGGGAUAGCCUUUAGAAAUGAAGAUUAAUACCCCAUAGUAUUCAUUAUAUGCAUAUAUAGCGAAUUAAAGUUUCGGCGGUAAAAGAUGAGUAUGCGUUCUAUUAGCUAGAUGGUAUGGUAACGGCAUACCAUGGCAACGAUAGAUAGGGGCCCUGAGAGGGGGGUCCCCCACACUGGUACUGAGACACGGACCAGACUCCUACGGGAGGCAGCAGUGAGGAAUAUUGGACAAUGGAGGCAACUCUGAUCCAGCCAUGCCGCGUGCAGGAAGACUGCCCUAUGGGUUGUAAACUGCUUUUAUACAGGAAGAAACACCUCUACGUGUAGAGGCUUGACGGUACUGUAAGAAUAAGGAUCGGCUAACUCCGUGCCAGCAGCCGCGGUAAUAAGGGCG